UACAGAGGUCUCAAGCGUUGUUCGGAUUCAUUGGGCGUAAAGGGUGCGUAGGCGGCGUGGUAAGUCGGAUGUGAAAUCCCGGGGCUCAACCCCGGAACUGCAUUCGAUACUGCCUUGCUAGAGUACUGGAGAGGAGACUGGAAUUUACGGUGUAGCAGUGAAAUGCGUAGAUAUCGUAAGGAAGACCAGUGGCGAAGGCGAGUCUCUGGACAGUUACUGACGCUGAGGCACGAAGGCCAGGGGAGCAAACGGG
rnacentral:rRNA from 1 species